UACGGGGGGGGCAAGCGUUGUUCGGAAUUACUGGGCGUAAAGGGCUCGUAGGCGGCCAACUAAGUCGGAUGUGAAAUCCCCAGGCUCAACCUGGGAACUGCAUCCGAUACUGGAUGGCUUGAAUUCGGGAGAGGGAUGCAGAAUUCCAGGUGUAGCGGUGAAAUGCGUAGAUAUCUGGAGGAACACCGGUGGCGAAGGCGGCAUCCUGGACCGAUACUGACGCUGAUGAGCGAAAGCCAGGGGAGCAAACGGG
rnacentral:rRNA from 1 species